UACGGAGGGUGCGAGCGUUAAUCGGAAUUACUGGGCGUAAAGCGCGCGUAGGCGGCUUUUCAAGUCGAUUGUGAAAUCCCCGGGCUUAACCUGGGAACUGCAGUCGAGACUGUCUAGCUAGAGUAUGGGAGAGGGAAGUGGAAUUUCAGGUGUAGCGGUGAACUGCGUAGAUAUCUGAAGGAACAUCAGUGGCGAAAGCGACUUCCUGGACCAAUACUGACGCUCAUGUGCGAAAGCGUGGGGAGCAAACAGG
rnacentral:rRNA from 1 species